UACAGAGGUCUCGAGCGUUGUUCGGAUUCAUUGGGCGUAAAGGGCGCGUAGGCGGCGGGGUAAGUCUGGUGUGAAAUCUCGGAGCUCAACUCCGAAAUUGCACUGGAUACUGCUCUGCUAGAGGGCUGGAGAGGAGAUCGGAAUUCACGGUGUAGCAGUGAAAUGCGUAGAUAUCGUGAGGAAGACCAGUGGCGAAGGCGGAUCUCUGGACAGCUCCUGACGCUGAGGCGCGAAGGCUACGGGAGCAAACAGG
rnacentral:rRNA from 1 species